UUCAUCUGCAUCAUAGCGUCGCUAGAAAGAGUUUUUUGUGCUUCACGGUGACCUCUUUCGCUCUCAGAGCUCCAUCGAGGGCUCCUCAUCUCUCCUCCAGCACUGCGACAUGAACCCUGUCACGUGGCUGCUGCUGCUCCUGGUGGCCGCAGGCUGCGUCAGCGGUUGGGCGCGUGCCGUGAUGCACAGACUGGAACCGUCCGAGCUCGUGAAGGCG